CCAGCAGCCGCGGUAAUUCCAGCUCCAAUAGCGUAUAUUAAAGUUGUUGCAGUUAAAAAGCUCGUAGUUGAACUUCUGUAUGUGUCCAGUUCUGGCUUCGGUCAAGCUGUGAUGCAUGCAUCCGCUUGCAAAUCUGGACCGGUCUUCACUGAUCGACCAGGGGAGUAGGCUUUUUACUUUGAAAAAAUUAGAGUGUUUCAAGCAGGCAAUGGCUCGAAUACAUUAGCAUGGAAUAAUGGAAUAGGACUUUUGUCCAUUUGGUUGGUUAUUGGACAUGAGUAAUGAUUAACAGGGACAGUUGGGGGCAUUAGUAUUUAAUUGUCAGAGGUGAAAUUCUUGGAUUUAUUAAAGACUAACUUAUGCGAAAGCAUUUGCCAAGGAUGUUUUCAUUAAUCAAGAACGAAAGU
rnacentral:rRNA from 1 species